rnacentral:rRNA from 1 species
UACGAAGGGGACUAGCGUUGUUCGGAUUUACUGGGCGUAAAGCGCGCGUAGGCGGAUCGCUAAGUCAGGGGUGAAAUCCCAGGGCUCAACCCUGGAACUGCCUUUGAUACUGACGAUCUGGAGAUCGGGAGAGGUUGGUGGAAUUCCGAGUGUAGAGGUGAAAUUCGUAGAUAUUCGGAGGAACACCGGAAGCGAAGGCGGCCAACUGGCCCGAUACUGACGCUGAGGCGCGAAAGCGUGGGGAGCAAACAGG